UACGAAGGGGGGCUAGCGUUGCUCGGAAUCACUGGGCGUAAAGGGUGCGUAGGCGGGUCUUUUAAGUCAGGGGUGAAAUCCUGGAGCUCAACUCCAGAACUGCCUUUGAUACUGAAGAUCUUGAGUUCGGGAGAGGUGAGUGGAACUGCGAGUGUAGAGGUGAAAUUCGUAGAUAUUCGCAAGGACACCAGUGGCGAAGGCGGCUCACUGGCCCGAUACUGACGCUGAGGCACGAAAGCGUGGGGAGCAAACAGG
rnacentral:rRNA from 1 species